rnacentral:lncRNA from 1 species
GAAGCUUGGAGCUAGGACUUUACCUCCCAAGUCUAUGGAGCUCUGACAGAGUGCCUCAGAGGAAAUGUCUGAGAACGCAGCAGGACUCCAUACUGAUGUAAAGACCUGUGGUAGGAGAAACACAGCCCAGCCCUGAGUCAGACUAAACAUGGGAAUAUUUCUCAUGGAAUGGGGACAGAGCAGAGGACAAGGUGAUAAAGAAAUAAUAUCUCCUGGCCUGGUGCGGUGGCUCAUGCCUGUAAUCCCAGCACUUUGAGAGGCCAAAGCAGGUGGAUCACUUGAGGUCAGGAAUUCGAGACCAGCCUGGCCAACAUGUCAAAAACCUGUCUAUACUAAAAAUACAAAAGCCAGGCGUGGGGGCACAUGCCUGUAAUCUCUGCUACUCAGGUCUGAAGCAUGAGAAUUACUUGAACCUGGGAGGCAGAGGUUGCAGUAAGCUGACAUCGCGCCACUGCACUCCAGCCUGGGCAACAGAGUGAGACUCUGUCUCAAAAUAAAAAAUAAAAUAAAAUAAAAUAAAUAAAAUAAAAUAAAAUAAAGAAAUACUUUUCAUAAGUCAUGUGAUCCUUCAUACACAUUAGAAUCCUGUAAUAAAAUCCUAUACUACUUGUUUCAAAUAAUAAAUCAAAGUGUAUUUAAUGUCAUUUAGUCAAUGUUAAGGGAACAUCUCAUUAGGGACCCAUGAUUUUUUUCUGAUAAGCUGCCAUCACAGAAUGACUUCAAGUCGAUGGCCUUUACUGAAAUAAUUUCUAAUAUGUAUUUUAUACAAUUCAAUCUUAGCUCACGCCAUGCUUUAUAGAUAUAAACAUAUCUGUAAUCUGAUUAUGUCUUUUUCACCCACUUUCUUUCUGUAUUUUACACCUUCAUGGCUAAACUAACAUCAACUUUAAAAAUAUGGGCCACAGCUCCAUCCAACAUUAAGGUUUUAAUUGUUUUUCUUGCCCUCUUUAUAUGAGUGGUAUUGGUUUCAUGUGAUCUUAAAAAUUUUGCUACUUUAUCCGAUGUGUAUGUGUGUGUGUGGGUGUGGCUGUGUGUGUGGUAAUAUCUUAUAUGGGCAUCAUCUGUCAAUCUCAAAUUUUAUUAGACAAUCAUGAAAGGGUGUGCUGUUUUGUUUAAAAGUUUAUAUGUUUAGUUAUUGGUCAUUGGAUUUAAAGAAAUCUUAAGAUUUCUUUAAAUUGAAGAAAAGUUAGGUAAAAUGAUUAACACUAAAAUGAUGAUUAAUGAUGAUUAAUUGUUUAACUAGUCCCAUUUUCCCAGUUGCAGAAUCACUACAUACUAUUCUGAAUGUAAUGUUUGAUUAAAGAGAUGAGUCAAACUCUCUUGUUUAGUGGUGUAGUUAGAGCAAUCACUAUUGACUGCUUAUCACUUCUAGGCAGUCCUACCCAUGAAGAAGAACUGAGAGCUCCUCAAUUCAGAGCUUCCAGUGGGUUUUGUGGACACUACCUUUUCCUUUAUUCAAAGCCAUUUCUAAUAUAAAUGCUUAUCAUUUAUUGUUUACUUAUUUAUUUACUAGACCUCAUGAAUUGGAUUGGUCAUAAUCCUUCAUUCACAACACAUCAUCAUCCUCUUAGAUGUAGGAACUUUCUUUAUAUAGUUUGUGGGUUUUCUAAUGUACUUAUUAUAUAGUUUGUUUCUAAUGUACUUAUUAUAUAGUUGGUUUUCUAAUGUACUUAUUCUUAAUUCUAUAAUCAACAACCCCCAAAGCACUAUCUAAUCCAAGAGCUAGAAUAUUCUACCAAAAAUACUUUUUCCUAAGCACUUCUCCCAAUCCCACAUCCCUGCCAUUUCUCCAAAAAUAACCAAUACCUGAAUUUUAUAUCUAUUUCCUCCUUGUUCUUUAUGUAGGUGAGUUACUGCAUACAUUUGAUGCCUAAAAAAUAUUGUUUAGUUUUACCAGGUUGUGAGUUUCAAAACAAGAAUAUCAAACAAGAAUAUCAAACUGUAUGUUGUCUUUUGAGACUUACUUUAUUGAUUCAGCAAAAUGAUACUAAUGUUUAUCCAUGUUGUUGCAUGUAGCUAAACAUACUCUAUUGUGAAAAGAUACCAUAAUUUAUAUAUUUUCUGUCUAUAUGUUUUUGUAUUAUUUCCAUUUUGUUCCUUUAUGAUCAGUGCUAUUGUGUACAUGUUUUGGGGGACACAUGUACUAAGCUUUUCCUUGAAUUGAACUUGGAGUAGAAUUGCUAGAUUUUAAAGAAUGCAAAUGUCAGCUGUAUAUUGUUUUCCAACGCAGUUGUACCAGUUUAUAUUUCUACCAUCAAAGUAAAAGAAAAUCCUGGAUACACACUCCAUCCAACACUUGAUAUGGCCAGUCUGCUUUAUUUUGCUAUUGAAAAGUCAAGUUGAUAUUGUCUUCUUAAUUUUCAUUUCUUUCAUUAUCAAUAAAGAGGAAGUCAAACUGUCAC